GACGAACGCUGGCGGCGUGCUUAACACAUGAAAUUCAACCGAAAAGGCCCCUCCGGUGUUACUCAACCGGCGAACGGUUGGUUACCACGUGGUUAAUCUGCCCCUCACUUUGGGAUAGCCACCGGAAACGUUGUUUAUUACCGGAUUUGACCUUAUUUCGCAUGGCGUGUGUUGGAAAGUUUUUCGGUGAGGGAUGUGCUCGCGGCCUAUCAGCUUGAUGGUGAGGUAAUGGCUCACCAUGGCUUCGACGGGUAGCCGGCCUGAGAGGGUGACCGGUCACACUGGGACUGAGACACGGCCCAGACUCCUACGGGAGGCAGCAGUGGGGAAUAUUGGACAAUGGGCGGAAGCCUGAUCCAGCAACGCCGCGUGAGGGAUGACGGCCUUCGGGUUGUAAACCUCUUUCAGUACCGACGAAGCGCAAGUGACGGUAGGUACAGAAGAAGCACCGGCCAACUACGUG
rnacentral:rRNA from 1 species